CUUGACCGAGCCGAGCCAGAGCGGUUCCGGCCGGUCCUGGCCGUAGGCCGCGAGCAACGCCUGGGCCUC
rnacentral:antisense_RNA from 1 species